UCACAAGUCCAUUUCUUUCUCUCUCUCCGCCUCUCACUCCUCACUCCAAACCCCCAUUUUCUCCUGCACAGAUUUCGAGGAGGAGAUGGAUUCAGAUCAAGGCAAGCUUUUCAUUGGUGGGAUUUCAUGGGAAACAAGUGAGGAGAAGCUCACUGAGUAUUUUAGUAGUUAUGGAGAAGUUGUGCAAACAUCUGUCAUGAGAGAUAAGAUUACUGGCAAGCCCAGAGGGUUUGGUUUUGUUGCUUUUGCAGAUCCUUCUGUUCUUGAUGCUGUUCUUCAAGAUACCCAUGUCAUUGAUGGAAGAACGGUUGAGGCCAAGAGGGCCAUGUCAAGAGAGGAGCAACAGGUAUCGAAAAGUGGAAAUGCUAGUGCUGGUAGAAACUUUGGAGGCGGUGGAAGUGACAGGACAAAGAAAAUAUUUGUUGGGGGCUUACCUCCAACAAUGAGCGAGGAUGAAUUUCGCCUGUAUUUUCAAUCAUAUGGCAAUGUAACUGAUGUGGUUGUCAUGUAUGAUCAGCAGACUAAUCGACCACGUGGAUUUGGGUUUAUAUCAUUUGACUCUGAGGACGCAGUUGAUCGGGUUUUGCACAAGACCUUUCAUGAUUUGGGUGGAAAACAAGUCGAAGUUAAAAGGGCUCUUCCCAAAGAUGGGGGCGGUGGCGGCCGUUCCAUGGGUGGAGGUGGUGGAGGUUAUCAGGGUUAUGGCUCUUCAGGUGGCAAUUCAAGUUCUUACGAAGGCCGCGAUUCCAACAGGUACAUGCAGUCUCAGAAUACUGGUGGUGGAUUUCCAUCAUACGGCUCUUCUGGAUAUGGUGCAUCAGGUUAUUGGUAUGGUAACAGCAAUGGCAUGGGUUCUGGUGGGUAUGGUAGUUAUGCUGGUGCAAAUCCUGGAUACGGUGGCCCAGCUGGUGGGGCAUAUGGUAACCCUAAUGUACCCAAUGUUGGUUAUGGUAGUGGUCCUCCUGGUGCACCCAGAAAUGCAUACGGCACUCAGGCUGCCUCAGGAUAUGGUAACAUGGGUUACGGAAAUACUCCUUGGGGUGCUUCUGGUGGCUCUGCUGGUGGUCCUGGUGGUGCAGCACCCACAGGUCAAUCUCCAAGCGGGGCUGCUGGUUAUGGGAAUCAAGGUUAUGGGAAUGGAGGAUAUGGGGGAGCUGAUGGAUCUUAUGGAAAUCCAGCUGCAUAUGGUGCAGUUGGUGGUCGGCUUGGAAGUGGCCCAAAUAGCAAUCCUUCUGCUGGUGGCGAGCUGCAACCUAGUGGUGGAGGAUACAUGGGAGGUAGCUAUGGUGAUGCGAAUGGAAAUUCAGGAUAUGGAUCUGGAAAUUAUGGAGCUCAGGUAGGACCUAAUGGAGGGCAAGUUGGAUAUGGUGGUGGAUACGGCGGUGCUCCCACUCGACAGAUGCAGCAGCAGUGAUGAUAUUAUUUUAUCUGAGACUUUUUAUAAAGACCCGUAGUGAUGCUUUACUGUGCUGGCCUCGGGUCUUCAUGCUGGAUGAAUCCACACUGCGGGGAGGAGAUGAUCAAUAAUGAAAGUGAUGUGUCCUGGCUAAACAUGAGCUUCAUUGCUGGGGAUGUAUUUAACAAUGAUUUGGAAGUUACACAGUGAACUAUGCAAAAUCAUGCUGAAGCCAGGCUAUGAAGAUCUGGCAGUAUCGUGGAUCAAGUCAAGUUUUGAGAGCUGCCAUUUGUGGUAUGUGGCUCUCUGCAGUAGCUAGAAAGAUUUAUAAAUAUAGUUCGACACCACAUUGGGCUAUUUAGUAAAGGAUAUUAGAGUUAUAGUUGGUCUGAGACUCUGGACUUCAGUACUCAACAAUCAGAUACAAAUUUUAUUAUUUAUUACAGUACAACACUCUGGUCCUCUUACCA